rnacentral:tRNA from 1 species
GCCUGGGUGGCUCAGUCGGUUGAGCGUCUGACUUCAGCUCGGGUCAUGAUCUCACAGUCCGUGAGUUCGAGCCCCGCAUUGGGCU